UACGUAGGGCGCAAGCGUUGUCCGGAAUUAUUGGGCGUAAAGAGCUCGUAGGUGGUUUGUCGCGUCUGUCGUGAAAGCCCGGGGCUUAACUCCGGGUCUGCGGUGGAUACGGGGCAGACUAGAGGCAGGUAGGGGAGAACGGAAUUCCCGGUGUAGCGGUGAAAUGCGCAGAUAUCGGGAGGAACACCGGUGGCGAAGGCGGUUCUCUGGGAAUAUCCUGACGCUGAGGAGCGAAAGUGUGGGGAGCGAACAGG
rnacentral:rRNA from 1 species